rnacentral:misc_RNA from 1 species
AAGAGGAAUCUCCUGGAAGGCCUGAGGUUAUUGAUGCUGAAUCUAAGGAAUUUCAGGAGCCAAAGGACACUGAGACUCAGAAUUCUUUCAAUGGUGAGGAAAUUACGUCCAUGGGGAAGUCUGUGCUUCAGCCAUGCAAUUCCCAUGCAAUUGAACCUGAUAGGUCAUCUCUUGAAGGUGAAAGCUACCGGGGAACUGAUGCUGUGACGCAAAAUUUGGAAACAAGUGAGAAAGCUGGUACAGAAGUUUCUGUAGACGGACAAGCUGGUUUCAGGGAUUAUGACAAACCUUUGGAUUGUGCAUUGUCUAAUGAUAUUUGCACAGAGAUUUCUAAUAGGUCUCCCACUUCGGACUUCCCUGCACCUGAGAAGUUGCUUUCUGUUCCAGAGGGCCUUACUGAAACACAUGUUGAUGACAUACCAUUGGGUUCUUCAUUGGAUAAAGG